GGUUGGGGCCAAAGAAAAGUAGUAGCACAUCUGCUUUGCAUGCAGAAGGUCCCAGGUUCAAUCCCUGGCAUCUACA